rnacentral:lncRNA from 1 species
AAGCAGUAGCGUGUCGUGGAGGAAACCUGGAUGGGUGGCAGCUUGAUCGAAGUGUUGGGGUCAACUUUGCUGGAGUUUUCUUUCUUUGAUUGAUCAAGGAAGCUAGGUGCUUGGACGUGUGGCAAGAAGAGAAUUCGGUGGGGUGUGGGUCUUCGAUGGAUAGCAAAGAAACGUGGAGAGGUGGACUGCUCGAUGAAGAUGGAUACAAAGAAGGAGUUGGCGUGCACAGGAGACCAACGAAGAAAGAGAGAAUGGGAUGAGGGAGAAAAAUGGUGCAAAAAGUCAAUAAAGGCUAUCCAAAUACUUCAAU